rnacentral:lncRNA from 1 species
GGUUAGGUGAACUGAAGAGACAGUCAGUGUAGAAAAUGCUGACAGGAGCUCUUAUUAAAACACUUUGACACUUUGGUCCACAGUGGCUUUGGUGCCUUGAACAUCAGCACUCCAAAAACCCUUGCGUAGACAAUUUAUAUCUUCAGCAUUCUCAUAACUGUGAUGAAGUUUGGUCCACAGUGGCUUUGGUGCCUUGAACAUCAGCACUCCAAAACACUUGCGUAGACAAUUUAUUAUCUUCAGCAUUCUUCAUAACUGUGAUGAAGAGGAGCACAGACAAACACAAGAGAGAUAUAGAGUGUGAGAAGUAACUGAAAAUAUCACUUCAGCUGAACUCUUGAAGAAAGCAGAUGUGUUUUAUCUAAGUGUCUUUAAGUAAAGGAUUUGAAGAAAUGUCACAUGUUGUUCAUUUUGGACUGCUUAUCGCAUGCUCAGUUCUUGUUGGGUGUAGCAGCAUUAACAAGGAACAAUGGAAGAGCAUGCUGGAAAAAAAAAAGUUGAACCUUCCCCAAGAAUUCAAAAUGAGUCAUGAAUUGAACAUAGAGAACUCUGAGAUGAAUGCCAUUAUGUGUUGGGUUUGCAAGAAGUCAAUUCAUGAGAUCAAGGGUGUGAUUCUUCAUGAGAUUAAAAAGGAAAUACAGGCCGUGUGCAAAGCAAUGAAAAUUCUCAAACACAUCUGCGAGCUCAAUGCUUACAAAUACCAAUUAAUUAUACUUCAUCUACUGUUUCCUGGUAAUAGCAAACAAACCUGUCACAGUUUGAGCAUGUGUAAAUAAAUGUAUUGCCCUGUUGUGAUGAACCAAAUUAUUUUCAACAUACUUUUAAUAAAUCAGCCUGUGGUCUGUUUGAUGUUGCUAUAGCCAAUUUUAUCAACGCAGUCAAUGCAGUGUUCUUUUUAUUGUGUGCAUUAUAUGCUGUCUAAACAAGAAUAAGCCAAAUCUAAUAACCACCAAAGAUACAAUAAAUCUGUUUAUUGGAUUAUUUACUGCUUCUCACGUGCAUAUUUUGUUCACUAACCACUUGAAUGAUAAAACUUUGGUUUUAUUUACA